rnacentral:rRNA from 1 species
GAUGAACGCUGACAGAAUGCUUAACACAUGCAAGUCAACUUGAAUUUGGGUUUUUAACUUAGGUUUGGGUGGCGGACGGGCGAGUAACGCGUAAAGAACUUGCCUCACAGCUAGGGACAACAUUUGGAAACGAAUGCUAAUACCUAAUAUUAUGAUAAUAGGGCAUCCUAUAAUUAUGAAAGCUAUAAGCGCUGUGAGAGAGCUUUGCGUCCCAUUAGCUAGUUGGAGAGGUAACGGCUCACCAAGGCGAUGAUGGGUAGCCGGCCUGAGAGGGUGAUCGGCCACAAGGGGACUGAGACACGGCCCUUACUCCUACGGGAGGCAGCAGUGGGGAAUAUUGGACAAUGGACCAAGAGUCUGAUCCAGCAAUUCUGUGUGCACGAUGAAGUUUUUCGGAAUGUAAAGUGCUUUCAGUUGGGAAGAAAGAAAUGACGGUACCAACAGAAGAAGUGACGGCUAAAUACGUG